AUACAAUUUCCUCUUGGGCCAGGGAUGUGGGCAGGGGUGGGCAGUGUUGGUGGUCUCUUCCGUUCUGCAGCCUCAGGAGUGCGCACCUGACCAGGCGGUGAGGUCUCUCUCCCAGGGGUUUGGGAGCAGAGAGCUGCUGCGGGCCGGGAUCCGCAGGUUUGGGACUCCCGGUAAAGAGCGGAAGUGCCCGGUCCUAGAGGAAUUUUGCCUCUGUGUGUCCUGAGUUCACCAGGCAGGUCUCUUGCAGCAGAAAAGUUGGUCUUACCUGUGGUCCCGAGGCUCAAGUUUGCUCGUGGGGUGCUGCCUAUGAGCUCUCCGCAGCGGCAGCCGGCUCUCUGACUCUUCCUCAUCCCAUAACUCCUCCCCAGUCGCCAAGAUGAUGCCCCCCCCCACUUCCACCCCACCAGAUCUCCACUUGGUGCCUCAAGUCUCUUUCGGGUUAGGAUCUUCUCUCCCUGAGGCCAGACCAGGCAGUCCUCUCCUAUAUAUGUGUCCGGGCCUCAUAUCAGCUCUUGUCUGAGAGAUCUCAGGGGUCCAGGUUAGUUGAGACUGCACGUCCUCCUACAGGGUCACCCUUCUCCUCAGCUUCUUCCAGAUUUUCCCUAGUUCAACCACAGGGGUCUAUUUUCCUGUCCAUUGGUUUGGUACUAGCAUCUGUACCUGACCCUUUCAGCUGUUUCUUGGGCCUCUCAGAGGGCAGCCAUGCUAGGCUAUCUCAGCAUACCAUAACAUCCGGAUUAGUGUCAGGCCUUUUAGACUUCCCUUGAGCUGGAUCC
rnacentral:lncRNA from 1 species